UCAAUCCUGUUUGACUUAGUGGCGGACGGGUGAGUAACGCAUGAGUAACCUGCCUUACACUGGGGGAUAACAGUUAGAAAUGACUGCUAAUACCGCAUAAGCGCACAGUGCCGCAUGAUCGGAAUACCAAAGAUUUAUUGCUGAAAGAUGGCCUCGCGUCUGAUUAGAUAGUUGGUGAGGUAACGGCCCACCAAGUCGACGAUCAGUAGCCGGACUGAGAGGUUGAACGGCCACAUUGGGACUGAGAUACGGCCCAGACUCC
rnacentral:rRNA from 1 species